AGCCAUGCGGUGAGCACAAAGCGAACUAUUCUUUCGCCUUUUACUAAAGAAUACCGUGUGUGCACCGCAUUCAGUGGCAUACGCCAAUUUUUUAAAGGGAUUUCUCUUACAAGGGAAGC